rnacentral:rRNA from 1 species
UACGUAGGGUGCAAGCGUUGUCCGGAAUUAUUGGGCGUAAAGAGCUCGUAGGCGGUCUGUCACGUCGGCUGUGAAAACCCGAGGCUCAACCUCGGGCCUGCAGUCGAUACGGGCAAACUAGAGUACUGCAGGGGAGACUGGAAUUCCUGGUGUAGCGGUGAAAUGCGCAGAUAUCAGGAGGAACACCGGUGGCGAAGGCGGGUCUCUGGGCAGUAACUGACGCUGGAGGAGCGAAAAGCGUUGGGGAGCGAACAGG